CAAAUUGCAAACUCGUAUUCAAGUAAAAGCUAAACAAAGUAACCUAAAUUCUUCCCCACAGCUUCCAUUGUAGGUGUAAUUUCCGAGUCCAUCUCACCCCAAAACACUAUCCAUCUCCUGUCCAUCAAGGCACUUUAAGACAUCACAAACUGCAAACUCGUAUUCAAGUAAAACCUAAACAAAGUAACCUAAAUUCUUCCCCACAGCAUCAAUUGUA